rnacentral:rRNA from 1 species
UAGUAGGUUAGUUGUCUCGUGCACGAGACGACGCGUGGCGGCGUGACCUAACACAUGACAAGGUCGAGCGAGUAGUAAUUUCCGUUCGGGUAUUAGAAGCGUAGGCGGGCGGGACGGGUGAAGUAACACUGGGCAACCUGCCUCAUAGAGGGGAAUAGCCUUUCGAAAGGAAGAUUAAUACCGCAUAAGAUUGUAGCUUCGCAUGAAGUAGCAAUUAAAGGAGCAAUCCGCUAUGAGAUGGGCCCGCGGCGCAUUAGCUAGUUGGUGAGGUAACGGCUCACCAAGGCGACGAUGUGUAGCCGACCUGAGAGGGUGAUCGGCCACAUUGGGACUGAGACACGGCCCAGACUCCUACGGGAGGCAGCAGUGGGGAAUAUUGCACAAUGGGGGAAACCCUGAUGCAGCAACGCCGCGUGAGUGAUGACGGCCUUCGGGUUGUAAAGCUCUGUCUUCAGGGACGAUAAUGACGGUACCUGAGGAGGAAGCCACGGCUAACUACGUG